AUUCGAAACACAUUUUUUUUAAAAUUUGAAUUCGAAUCUGACAAAUUUUAAAAAUUCAUAUUCAAAUCCGAACGUAACCAAAACUCUGAAAUCUCAAUAAGAAUCUGAAUCUGAAUCCAAAAAUCUGAGCUCGAAAUAAUUACUUCUCUUUUCAAUAUUUUAAAAUAUACUAUAGUAAAUCUAAAAUUUUAAAAUACAAAUUCAAAUAUAUAUAUAUAUAUAUAUAUAUAUAAUAGAACUAGGCUGGAAUACUAUCAAUAGCACCAAGUUGUUGGUGCUAUUAGUUUUUUAGCCUUUGGAUUGAGAAAUAUAUGGUUAGGAUGAUGUGGGCUUCCUAGAGUUGAGUGGGUGGUUGGUUGAAUAGUAUAAUAUAACGGGUAAAAAUAAUCAAAGGGGUUAAUCUAACGGCAGAAAACUUGAUAGCACCAGUGUUUGGUGCUCUUGAUAGCAUAGCAGCCGGACUCAUAUUAUAUAAUAUAAAAUAAAUUCAGGUUCAGAUCGAAUUCGGAUCAGAUACAGUCAAACUUCAUAUCUGAAUCCAUAUUCGUCGGAUUUUUAUUUUUAAUAUUUAUAUUCGAAACCAUAUCCGUUUAGUAUCUAAUAAAUUCGCUCUGUUCGGACUUAGUUUCAAAUAAAACUUUAGGUAUUCAUAACCAUUGACAUCCCGUGGAGAUCGGCGCCUAUCGUCCACUCAUUGGAGGACAUGGAGUGGUCCUGCAGAUUUAAUUGGUAGGUUGUGUGGGCCGCACUUGAAAAGCAAGAUUUUAUUUGGACUGUGCUCAUAAAAAAAAAAAAAAAAAUUCUCUUCUAUCCAUUAGCAACACUAAUUAUGCUUACUUACUUUCACUAGCGUAAGCAGUAAAGAACUUGAUAAUUGGUAUUCGAGGUUCCAAAUUUGAAUUCUAUUGAUUUACAUUUAGCCAUACUUUUUCGAUUUGACAUAUAGAUAUUUAAAAGUUUGCUUAACCCUAAAAUAGAAUAUACAUCUUAUACUUAUUCUAUUCAAGAGCUAUUAAUUUUUUACUU
rnacentral:lncRNA from 1 species